UUAGUGGGUAUAGCACUGAAUAUCUAAUAUUAUUUGAAGGGAGUAUGAAAGUACUUACUUUGGAUAUUUAAUCUCAGAAUAACUAAUAGAUGAAAGAUGAUUAAGUUGUCAGACUUAUUGCGAUAAGGUG
rnacentral:rRNA from 1 species